CGCUCAGUUUACCGCACGCUCCAGGGGCACCUGGCGCUGUCCAGCGGAGUCAGCGGAUCCUAACAGGCGAUUGGUCGCCAGCGAGCGCCUGUCAGUCUCACCCAGGCGUAAUGCCAUCUGUUCGGAGUUUGUUGUGAUGUGAACAAAGACAGACGCCGAGAGAGCACGCCAUGCAGCCGGGCCGUUGUCCUCGCCCACCUGCGUUACCAGAUGGCAAAGCCCCCCAGCCUCUCGGUCCACCUGUCUGUGGGGCCAGAGGAAACCUAUAUAAGUGCUUCCUGGGAGCAAAGGAAGAGGAGGUAUCUGAGUGCCAGAGUGGAGAGCUGGGGAGAUGGAGAGAUGGAGAGCUGGGGAGAUGGAGAGAUGGAGAGCUGGUUUUGGCGGGAGUUGGAGUGGAGGCCUUUGUUUGGAGCCCUGUAAUGUUUGCCUAAGCUUGCUUGGUUGUGAGAUUAAACCAAGGUGCCAGAAGGGGGGUUAGCGCCUUUUCCUGUGUGCCUAGUUUCUCUUGUUUUGGAUUUAGUUAGGAAGAAAGGUUACUGUAUGUUGUUGUAUUUUAUUUCCUUUUCUUUUAGACUAGGCUAGUUUGUGGGGUGGUGUUAGUGCUGGAUUUUGUUUGUUAUUUUGGCCUUGCUUACUCCCUGGAGAAAUGACUGCGUUGCUCCAAAUAAAGAAAGGAAUCUGA